GGCGGUAUAGCUUAAUGGUACAGCAUUCGAAUGCAGAUCGAGAGGUCUCCGGUUCAAACCCGGAUGCUCCCU